GAUUCAAUCAAACCUUCAUCCGCAAAUCCACUUCAAAUCCAUUCCUUGAUCAAGUUGAGAGUGAUACACAUCCAGCAGCUUGAUUCCAUCUUAUCUAUCCUUUCCCUCAGUCUAUUAUUCUUUUUUUAUUCAUAUCAUAGUCCUCAUCUCAUUCAUUCUUCAUUUGGUUUCAAGCUUGGAAGCAUAGCUCAGAGACCCCAAAACCCCAUCAGCCUUAGCUCCAAGCUUGGAAGCAUAGAAAUUAGCAAGCUCAGAGACCCCAAAGCCCCAUCCAUCCAAAGCACACACAUUACCCUUCUGAGGAUGAAAUGUAACCUCUUCAUCAUCCUCCAAUAACUCAAGACUCUCAUCAGUAAUCUCACCAGAAGGAUAUAGAGUCAACAUCAGACUUAUACACACUCACAAUCGAACGAGUAUACGCUUCCAUGGGAUGGGACUC
rnacentral:lncRNA from 1 species